rnacentral:rRNA from 1 species
CCCUUAGAUGUUCUGGGCCGCACGCGCGCUACACUGACGAAUGCAACGAGCUUAUAACCUUGGCCGAAAGGUCUGGGUAUUCUCCAAAUUUCGUCGUGAUGGGGAUAGAUUAUUGCAAUUAUUAAUCUUCAACGAGGAAUGCCUAGUAAGCGCAAGUCAUCAGCUUGCGUUGAUUACGUCCCUGCCCUUUGUACACACCGCCCGUCGCUCCUACCGAUUGAAUGGUCCGGUGAAGCGUUCGGACCGUGGCCUUUGGACGGUUCGCCGUCUGUUGGCUGCGGGAAGUUCGUUAAACCUUAUCAUUUAGAGGAAGGAGAAGUCGUAACA